UACGUAGGGAGCAAGCGUUGUCCGGAAUCAUUGGGCGUAAAGCGCGCGUAGGCGGCCCCGUAAGUCCGCUGUGAAAGUCAAAGGCUCAACCUUUGAAAGCCGGUGGAUACUGUGGGGCUAGAGUCCGGAAGAGGCGAGUGGAAUUCCUGGUGUAGCGGUGGAAUGCGCAGAUAUCAGGAGGAACACCAAUAGCGAAGGCAGCUCGCUGGGACGGUAUUGACGCUGAGGCGCGAAAGCCAGGGGAGCAAACGGG
rnacentral:rRNA from 1 species